rnacentral:rRNA from 1 species
UACAGGGGGUGCUAGCGUUGUUCGGAAUUACUGGGCGUAAAGGGCGUGUAGGUGGCUUAUUAAGUCAGAUGUGAAAUCCUGGGGCUUAACUCCAGAACUGCAUUUGAAACUACUAAGCUAGAGUACAGUAGAGGCUAGCGGAAUUCCCAGUGUAGAGGUGAAAUUCGUAGAUAUUCGCAAGAACACCAGUGGCGAAGGCGGCUCACUGGCCCGAUACUGACGCUGAGGCACGAAAGCGUGGGGAGCAAACAGG